rnacentral:lncRNA from 1 species
AUAAUAGAUGAGGAACCGUCUUUAAUACGUUUGCUUUCUGUUUUCCGCAGGAAAGGGCGAGAGUGGGCGCGGGAAAAACACCUUGCCGAGCAGAGAGCGGCUGGCCGGAGCGACGGUGGUGGCGAUCCCCGGGGACGGCGACUCGGACGCCGGCUGAACCCAGGGAACAACUUUCCCUGGCGGGAGAGGCUUUUGCGCCUGCCCGCGCGCGGCCYGGUGACGAUUUAAAGGAAGUUUCUCACGGC